UUUUUGUUCGUCUGUGCAGGUCGCCCUCAAAGUACCGCGAGGUCCCCGUACCGAGGAAACCGAGCAAUAUUAACUGUUGGUUGCUCGCCCCAGUUUUUUACCACAACAUAAAUAAUUUAAAUAAAAAAGUCUGUGGUAUAUAUUAUUUAUUGUGUAUAUUAUUACACAUGUAUGUUAUGCAUUUUUGAUAAAAGUUAUGAAAUAUUAUGAUUAUAGUUAUAAAAUUUUAAUGAGCCAAUUAUAAUUGGUUACUACACUAACACCACAUAUUUUCGUAACUAGCCACAAUAAUUUAUAAUAACCACCCAAUAUUUUCGUAAUUAACUAUAAUAAUUUGUAAUUAACAUCAUGCAAUAUUAUAAAAGUUACAACAAUUCGUAACUAACCAUAAUAAUUUAUAAUUAAUAGCACACAAUUUCAUAACCAUUACAAUAAUUCGUAAUUAACACUAAACAGUUUUGUAAUUAGCCACAAUAAUUUAUAACUAACGUCCCACAAUUUCAUAAUAACCAAAAUAAUUCGUAACUAUACAUAAUAAGUCAUAACUAAUAUUAAACAUUUUCGUAAUUAGCCACAAUAAUUUGUAAUUAACAUCAAACAAUUUUAUAAUAGCCAUAACAAUUCGUAACUAUGUACAAUAAUUCAUAACUAACACUAACCACUUUUAUAACUAAGCACAAUAAUUCGUAACUACAUCUAUAAACUUUCGUAACUCGUCACAACAAUUCCUACCCCAAAAGUUCUUUGAACACUCACUACCAUCUCCCACAUCAGUCACCCUCCCUCAUGGAACCGUGCACCAUCGCCACUGCCACCACAUGACCAUUAGAUUUAAACUCAUGAUCUACCUACCUAUAUCGUCACUAUAGUGACCAAAGUUAAAUUUCUUGGCUAAUUUUCUGAACUCGAUCUCCAAUGUCUUAAUCGAUACUAAGGCCAUUAUUGAUGAACAUUGCAUCGCCCAGAUGAUAGGGAGUGUAUCUGGGAUUGUCGAUUCGCUUUGACACGACUAGUUGGAGGAUCUGACCUCAGAAGGUCCUGUUACGGUAUACAACUCAAUAUUUCGAAAGAGUCUGGAAUAUGGCGGAAAAUUCUAGACCAUUAUAGAAGGAUUCGAAAUCCUUGAGAAAGCCAGAGAAUUUUGGAAGAGUCUAGAAUAUAGCGGAAGGUUUUAGACUAUUAUAGAAGGAUUCGGAACCCUUAAGAAGCCUAGAGAAUUUUGGAAGAGUCCAAAUUGUUCCAGAACAUUCUGGAGGGGACUAGACUACUCAAGAAGCUUAUAGAAGAACCUAAAAGAUUAGAGAAGAACCUAGAAGAUUAAAGAAGAGCCUAUAAGGUUGGAGAAUGUUCCACUUUAUUCUAGAAGGUUUUUGGGAUUCAUUCAUGGAUAUAAAUUGGAGGAGUAUUUGAGAAAGUUCUAGGUGCUUCCAUUGCACCUAUAAUAUAUAGGCAACCUCUUGUGGUUUUGACAACAAGAAAGCCAACAAGAAAUCCAAGAGUGAUACACUUGGUGAGUGAGUGAGGCAAAGUUGUGUGAGAGUAAUUCAAGUGUUCAAGUUCCAUAAUCAUAGAGUAUUAUAGACACUUGGUAUUCCACUGUGAGUUCAAUUACAUCUAAGCCAGGGCCUUGGUAUAAAUUAUAGGCGGUGAAAAGAAGUAAUAUUGUGUUUUAUUAUAAGUUGUGGAUUGAUUGAGCUCGGCCUGUGGAUGUAGGCAAAUUGCCAAACCACGUAUAUCUCGUGUUCUUGUUUUGUUUAUUUUCCGUUUUAUUUGGCUUAAUAUAAUUUCAUCAUUUUAUAAUAGGACCAACAGGUCCAACUACAACAAAUCAGCGGCGUCGGCAGUGGCGGUCCCAAGGGGCGGACGGGUAGGGGUUGUAUUUGAAAAAUCCAAAAAUAUAAAAAUAAAAAUAAAAAUUUUUAAUUUUUUUUAAUUUUUUCUGUUAAUUUUGACUAUUUUGCUAUUGAAUAUACACAAUUGACCCCCCUAAAAGUUUCUUUAAAAAUGUAUAGUUCGGCCCCCUUUAAACGAAAAUCUUGCGUCCGCCACUGGGCGUCUGGGCGAAUAUGACUACUUCGGAUACGGGAAAGUCAAGAAGCAAUAGUUUGUGAUUGCCGACGGGAUUUGCGACACCAGAAUAUGAGAAAUUUGUGGUUAUUGUAAGAGGUGGAUAGGCGGUGGUUGGUUCAUGCCUCAGGGAAGUGGCAAUUAAGGAUUUUUUUUCGCGGUUUUGGUAUUGAAUGUAAGUGGAUUUGUUAAAAUGGGAGAUUGAGAGAGUGAUUACACACACACAUAUAUAAAUAUACACGAGAUUGGAGAUUGUGGGUGUUGAGAUGAAGUUGGGUUCGCGACGGUGGUGGCGAGUCCUGGUGUUAGGAUUUUUUUGGUGGCAGGGCAGAAGAUGAGAGGAGAGUUUCCAUAUGGAUCCAUUAAAUGUCUCACCCCACCCACUCUUUAGCAAGGUACAAAUUCUUAAUUUAAUGUACAAUAGAUACUAUGC
rnacentral:lncRNA from 1 species